rnacentral:lncRNA from 1 species
AACUUGUAAAAAGUUGUAAGAGGCAGAAGAGUAAAGUGAAAUAGUUGAAAUAUUCUCUCAAGCAUUCUUGUGUGUGAUUCUAUCCUUUAAAUUUUUAUCUUAUAUUCUUUAUAUUUAUAUCAGACAUAUAUACUGCAUUAAUUUUCUGUUCUAGUACUUUAGAACAUUCUGAGCUCAACCUAUUCUAAUUUUUAAACUUGAGAAUCAUUUUUUCUCAAACAUAGC